GUGCUCACUUUGGCAGCAUAUAUACUGAAAUUGGAACAUACAGACACGAUUAGCUUGGCCUCUGUGCAAGGAUGACAUGCAGAUUCAUGAAGCAUUCCAUGUUUUU